AUUGAACGCUGGCGGCAGGCCUAACACAUGCAAGUCGAGCGGAUGAAGGGAGCUUGCUCCUGGAUUCAGCGGCGGACGGGUGAGUAAUGCCUAGGAAUCUGCCUGGUAGUGGGGGAUAACGUCCGGAAACGGGCGCUAAUACCGCAUACGUCCUGAGGGAGAAAGUGGGGGAUCUUCGGACCUCACGCUAUCAGAUGAGCCUAGGUCGGAUUAGCUAGUUGGUGGGGUAAAGGCCUACCAAGGCGACGAUCCGUAACUGGUCUGAGAGGAUGAUCAGUCACACUGGAAAUGAGAAACGGUCCAGAAUCAUACGGGAGGCAGCAGUGGGGAAUAUUGGACAAUGGGCGAAAGACUGAUCCAGCCAUGCCGCGUGUGUGAAGAAGGUCUUCGGAUUGUAAAGCACUUUAAGUUGGGAGGAAGGGCAGUAAGUUAAUACCUUGCUGUUUUGACGUUACCAACAGAAUAAGCACCGGCUAACUUCGUG
rnacentral:rRNA from 1 species